CAGCCAUAUAACAUUGAAACACAGGUUCCCAUACGCUCACCGAAGUUAAGCACCGUCGAGCCUGGUCAGUACCUAGAUGGGUGACAGCUUGGGAAUACUUCACUGGUG